GAUGAAGAACGUAGCGAAAUGCGAUAAGUAAUGUGAAUUGCAGAAUUCAGUGAAUCAUCGAGUCUUUGAACGCACAUUGCGCCCCCUGGUAUUCCGGGGGGCAUGCCUGUCCGAGCGUCAUUGCAGCCCUCAAGCACGGCUUGUGUGUUGGGCCGUCGUCCCCCUCCUAGGGGACGGGCCCGAAAGGCAGCGGCGGCACCGCGUCCGGUCCUCGAGCGUAUGGGGCUUCGUCACCCGCUCCGUAGGCCCGGCCGGCGCUUGCCGACGACCAUCAAUCUCUUUCUCCAGGUUGACCUCGGAUCAGGUAGGGAUACCCGCUGAACUUAAGCAUAUCAAUAAGCGGAGGA
rnacentral:misc_RNA from 1 species